CGUCUAUAUACGUAUAGCAUAUCAAUAAGCGGAGGAAAAGAAACUAACAAGGAUUCCCUUAGUAACGGCGAGUGAAGCGGGAAGAGCUCAAAUUUGAAAUCUUCAAGGUUCUACCUUGACGAAUUGUAGUUUAAAGAAGUGUUUUCUGUUGGAGUUUUGGUAAAAGUUCUUUGGAAUAGGACAUCAUAGAGGGUGAGAAUCCCGUAUUUGACCAUUAUUUCCAACUUUGUGAUACACUUUCAAAGAGUCGGAUUGUUUGGGAAUGCAGUCCAAAAUGGGUGGUAAAUUUCAUCUAAAGCUAAAUACUGGCGAGAGACCGAUAGCGAACAAGUACCGUGAGGGAAAGAUGAAAAGAACUUUGAAAAGAGAGUUAAACAGUACGUGAAAUUGUCAAAAGGGAAGCGUUUGACACCAGUGUUGUUUUCUCGAAAAUCAAUUAAAAAUGGUGGGAUGUUGUGUUGUAUUGACUUUAUCAGCUUUCUGCACUUUUUUUCCUAUCUUUUUUAAUGCACUUUUCGUUUAACAAGUCAACAUCAAUUUCUUUUGCUGUAAAAGAGUCAUUGGAAGGUGGCUUUCUUUUCGGAGAAAGUGUUUAUAGCCUUUGGCUUCUGCAAUCGGAGAGAUUGAGGUCUGCAGCGUAGAUCCUUCGGGGUUAGAUGCAUUUGUGUUAAGUUAUAGCCUUUCAUAGACAACUUGUUGACUAUGAUCAGUCAUGUAGCUUACUCGCUUAUGUCUAUUUUACCUACGCUUAGGAUGUUGAUAUGCAUGACUGAUAU
rnacentral:rRNA from 1 species